rnacentral:lncRNA from 1 species
AUGUCCCCCGAGGGCAGCUGCGGCUCGGCUUGGGAGCCCUGCCAGCUCCGAACAGCCCCCCAGAAACUCCAAACCCGGGAUAUUUGGGGCGAGCUCCCCCACCCCGGGCACCUGCGGGAUGGGGCCGAUGCUCCCAGGGUGCUGCGGGCUCAGGCGGCGCGAUUCCCCGUUCUCACCUCCGGCUUUUUCCGACUGCCGCUCCGCCUCUUCCUCCCUCCCUCCCCCUCCUCCUCCGCUCCCGAAGCCGCGCAGCCGCCGAAGCCGGGGGAUGGAGCCGGGGCCGGUCGGAACGCUGAGAGGGAUGGGGGGAUGCCAGGAGUGGCAGUGACUGCGCUGUACUGGGAUCAUACUGGGAGCAGCUCCUGGGUAGUUUCCAGCUGUGACCUCCUGUCCAACAGAGCGUCCGUGGAUCCCAUGGGUACGGCUACAAGGGCUGAGAUUUCAUCUCCUUCCAACUGCGAUCUGGGAGCUUUGCAGUGUCCGACGGUGCCACCUGGAUCACCCAGAGGUGCUGGGAAUCCAAAGGGAUCAUGGUGGAGCAGAUGAAGCAUUGCCUGGGACACAGCUGUGUGGAAAGGCCCCCAAAAUACAUCAGAUAUUAGUCAGGAGGCUCUGGAGCACAAGGGUGGGUGUAAGAGGGGAAGGGCAAUUCCUAUGGGAAUGGGGGACUCAGGAAUGGGGGACUUGGGAAUGCAGGGAUUCCCAUGGAAUUUCCAUGACCAGAUGUCACUCUCGUCCCAGUCAGGUGAGAAUUCCAUGGAUGGAUCUCCCCCGCAACUCACUGCCAUGGGAAUUCCAUGGGGGAAUGAUUUCAAUUGAUGACCAAUCCAAUGAGAGCAGUGCAAUGAGAAGUAAUCCAUGCUGGGAUUCCAUGGGACAUUGUCCCAGUCCUUUGCCCAGGCUGGCUCUGCUGUGCCCAUUGCAGCACCAGGGGAGUGCCCUGUCCCUGCCCUGAGCCCAGCACGAGCCUUUCCUUGAGUGUUCCGUGCCCUGCCCAAGACAGGAGGGCACUGCCAGAGCGGCUUUGGUGGCCCCGGGCACCCAGCCGGGCUGCAGCCACUGCAGGUGCUCCUGGGGAAUGUUCCAGAGCAGAGCUGAAAGCAAACAACAGUUUCUGGAGGGGAUUCUGCCCCUGGGCCUGUGCUGGGACCCCAAGGGCAACAGCCCAAAGUUCUGGGCCUCAGUGUCCCUUGGCCAGGCCAUGUUCCCUGGCUGGUCCCUAUCCCUCAGCUGUGCCCUGUCCCUUGGCUGUCCCCUGUCCCUCAGCUGUGCCCUGUCCCCUGUCCCUCGGCUGUCCCCUGUCCCUCAGCUGUCCCCUGUCCCUUGGCUCUGUGAGGCCAGGGCUGGCAGGAGGACCCAGGGCAGUCCUGGAGGAGAACAACCCUGAGCCCCGGCUGGGCCAGUUCUCCCAGUUCCCCCCAGGCUCCUCCCAGCAUGGGCCCUGUGGCUCCCAGUCACCCCCAGUAUGGUCCCAGUCACUUCCAGUUGCACUUAGUGAUCGUAGUAUCAUCCCGGUCACUCCCAGUGUGAUUCCUGUAUGAUCCCA